rnacentral:rRNA from 1 species
CAGCCGCCGCGGUAAUACGUAGGUGGCAAGCGUUGUCCGGAAUUAUUGGGCGUAAAGGGCUCGCAGGCGGUUUCUUAAGUCUGAUGUGAAAGCCCCCGGCUCAACCGGGGGGGGUCAUUGGAAACUGGGAAACUUGAGUGCAGAAGAGGAGAGUGGAAUUCCACGUGUAGCGGUGAAAUGCGUAGAGAUGUGGAGGAACACCAGUGGCGAAGGCGACUCUCUGGUCUGUAACUGACGCUGAGGAGCGAAAGCGUGGGGAGCGAACAGGAUUAGAUACCCCAGUAGUCCCUGUCUCUUAUAA